AAAUGGCCAGUAACAGCAGAUCGGCCACUGUGAUCGGGCGAGGGGUGAGCGCCUCGACCCGCGGCAACUGCCUUGGGUGAGCGAGGGAGUAGGAUGCGGGUGGGAUAAGGACACGGGUGGCAGUAGGACACUCCUUGUCAGGGGCACGGGGGGCACAGGGACCCUGGUUGUCAGGGAUGAAGGUGGCAGAGGGACACGGGUGGGAUACAGAGGCAGGUGGCACAGGGACAUAGGUUGUGAGGGCUGCAGGUGGCACAGGGCACGGGUGAGAUAAGGACUCGGGUGGCCUAGCCAUGGCAGUGCCGGGCCCAUACUGCUGCCCUUGGUGCUGCCCUGCGUGGUGCUGCAGGGAUCGCUGCUGGGAGCACGGGGUCCUAGUGUGCGAUGCGACCCUGCCAGCCCACAUCGCUCCUGUCUUUGUGUGGCCCGCACGGCAAAAUGGCCUCUACAGUGGCCCAACCGCAGGAAUUCAGCCGUGCUGAGAGAACCCGUCCUGCUGCUACUGCCUCUGGUGAGCUUGGGAGGAGGAUGGGAUCGGCUCUUCCUGCCACUAACAGUGCUGUGACCAUUGUGCCCCAGCAGAGCUCCACCGCAGACCAUGCGUCACCGGCACCCGCUGCCACAGGACCGGAGCCCUGAGGACAUCUUUGCCCCGAAGAGGAUGUGCGUGAGGGAGUGCCCGCAGUCCGGCAAAGGAUCCUGCUGCCAAGUGCCACGUUGGAUGGGAAGGUAACGUACUGCUCAUCCAGCCAGUGCCUGCUUGUCAGUGCCAGACAGGAAGAAAGCAGCCGCCUUCCCAGCUCACCUGGUGCCCAAGGCCUGCUCUCCACCGGAGCUGGGAUAUUCCAGGCCCGCGAGACAUGGCUGCUGGGUCAGCCAGUGGUGGGGAAGCCCCCUUGUUGGGUCCGUCAGCAUCCCCGCUGCCUUGUUCCACAGCGGUGCUGGCGGCAGCGCUGACCGGCACCAUCCCUGCCCUGUGCCCAGGCUGGGUUGGAGCUUGAAGGGCUCAGACGGCUGUAGCGGUGACUUUGCCGUGUGGCGCUGGCAUGUCCUGUCCCAGCCUGGCGCUGACCCUAACUGGCUCUCUCCCACUUGCACAGAGCAUGGGAAUCGCUGCCACGGGAAGACAGCACUCCGGGAAGAGCGAGCAAGGCUGUGCAGACCGAGGAAGGUGAGUGUAGGUGGGGCCCAGCUCUGUGCCGGGCUCGGAUGGGCCACUGGUGCAGGUGUGCUCCAAUGCCAGGCGCAGCUCAUUCCAACAGUUCCUCAGCUGAAAGAGAGAGGAAACCCCGUGUGCCCAUCGCGGAGAGGGUCCCGUGGCACAGUGCGAGAUGUGGCCACCACGUGUGGCAGCUUGUGUGCUUUGUGGUUCGGGUGGGCAGCGUGCAAGGAGCGUCUGUGGAGGUGGGAAGGGGCCGCUGGCCCAUGGAGCCCCAGCGGGCUCUUGUGAGAGCUUCCCCCUGGAUCUCUUGUGGCCAGCUGCUGCCCCAGGGCAUCGCAGCCUUGUCCGCGGCUUAAGGCCGUGCCCCUGGCUCUGCCCUCCAAGACGGGCAUCCAGAGAGGAGUGAGAAGGGACAACCCCCUCGGUAGAGGCCAAGCGCCCCUGCUGGGAGCUGCUCCUGACUUGUCUCCUCCUGUAGCUGUCGAGAGGCCUGAGGAGGAGCGGCGGCAGUCCCCGAGCCCACCACCAUCGCUGGGGAAAGGAAGGCCACGCAGGAGGAGCAUCUGCCUGCUGGUGCCUGGCGACAUCCACCCACUGGUGCUGUUCCCUGAGCUUAACCCAGAGUACCCCACCGCCGACAUGAUCCUGGAGGAGGAGGGGGAGGCAGCAUGGCAGCGCUCUCGACGGCUCUUGGGAGCUAAGGCUGGUAAGGGCAGAGGGGGAAUGCCAAGGGCACGGCAAGGGGGAGAAAGCCAUGGCCCGGGCUGGCAGGGCAGUGGGCGCCUGUGUAGCACAGGCUGAGGAAGCUCCUGGGCCAGUGCUGCAUCGGCUCCGAUGCUCUCAGAGACUUGUGAA